rnacentral:rRNA from 1 species
UACGUAGGGGGCAAGCGUUAUCCGGAUUUACUGGGUGUAAAGGGAGCGUAGGUGGCCAGACAAGUCAGAUGUGAAAGCCCGGGGCUCAACCCCGGGACUGCAUUUGAAACUGAUUGGCUAGAGUGCAGGAGAGGUAAGUGGAAUUCCUAGUGUAGCGGUGAAAUGCGUAGAUAUUAGGAGGAACACCAGUGGCGAAGGCGGCUUACUGGACUGUAACUGACACUGAGGCUCGAAAGCGUGGGGAGCAAAC